rnacentral:snRNA from 1 species
GUGCUCGCUUUGGCAGCACAUAUACUAAAAU